rnacentral:lncRNA from 1 species
ACCCCUUCAAUAAAAACACAAGAUCCUACAGAUUUCUGCUGACAUAUGCCCUUUAAAAUACGCAAGGUGUAAUGAAUCAGUCAACUAUCGCCAACUGUAUUGUAAAAUUGACGGAAUAGGGGGUUUAGCAAUGAGUAAUGCGUUACAAAUUUUAAGUUUGAAUCGAAGUACGUAAAUUUAUGCUGUUUCAGUGCCGUCUCACAGGGAGGUUGCCUGAUUAAACUUACUUCUUUAUUGGUGGCAAGCUUGACUCGAAUUGGAUAAUUAUUAUGAUGGAAGGGGUUUAAAAGAGAUUUUUCUAUUCAUAAAGCUUUGAAAUUAACUUUCAUGCCCAAACAAGGGCUUCAUCUUUGUCAAUAUUACCGAAACUCUAAAAACCACUGAAAUAGUUGUGCUCGUCCAUCAAAGUCUUGUAGACAAUUU